rnacentral:rRNA from 1 species
AGCGAAGCGGGAAGAGCUCAAAUUUAUAAUCUGGCACCUUCGGUGUCCGAGUUGUAAUCUCUAGAAAUGUUUUCCGCGUUGGACCGCACACAAGUCUGUUGGAAUACAGCGGCAUAGUGGUGAGACCCCCGUAUAUGGUGCGGACGCCCAGCGCUUUGUGAUACAUUUUCGAAGAGUCGAGUUGUUUGGGAAUGCAGCUCAAAUUGGGUGGUAAAUUCCAUCUAAAGCUAAAUAUUGGCGAGAGACCGAUAGCGAACAAGUACCGUGAGGGAAAGAUGAAAAGCACUUUGGAAAGAGAGUUAACAGUACGUGAAAUUGUUGGAAGGGAAACGCUUGAAGUCAGACUUGCUUGCUGAGCAAUCGGUUUGCAGGCCAGCAUCAGUUUUCCGGGAUGGAUAAUGGUAGAGAGAAGGUAGCAGUUUCGGCUGUGUUAUAGCUCUCUGCUGGAUACAUCUUGGGGGACUGAGGAACGCAGUGUGCCUUUGGCGGGGGUUUCGACCUCUUCACACUUAGGAUGCUGGUGGAAUGGCUUUAAACGACCCGU